rnacentral:rRNA from 1 species
ACUCCUACGGGAGGCAGCAGUGGGGAAUAUUGCACAAUGGGCGCAAGCCUGAUGCAGCCAUGCCGCGUGUAUGAAGAAGGCCUUCGGGUUGUAAAGUACUUUCAGCAGUGAGGAAGGUGGAUAUGUUAAUAGCAUAUUCUAUUUGUACGUUAGCUGCAGAAGAAGCACCGGCUAACUCCGUGCCAGCAGCCGCGGUAAGUACGGAGGGUGCGAGCGUUAAUCGGUAAUACGUGGCGUAAAGCGCAUGCAGGUGGUUUGUUAAGUCAGAUGUGAAAGCCCGGGGUCUCAACCUCGGAAUUGCAUUUGAAACUGGCAAACUAGAGUACUGGUAGAGGGGGUUAGAAUUUCGAGGUGUAGCGGUGAAAUGCGUAGAGA